GAGCUGAUAGCUCAGUAGUAGAGCACAUGCUUAGCAUCCACGAGGUCCUGGGUUCAAUCCCCAGCACCUCC
rnacentral:tRNA from 1 species